rnacentral:rRNA from 1 species
GACGAACGCUGGCGGCGUGCCUAAUACAUGCAAGUAGAACGCUGAAGAGAGGAGCUUGCUCUUCUUGGAUGAGUUGCGAACGGGUGAGUAACGCGUAGGUAACCUGCCUGGUAGCGGGGGAUAACUAUUGGAAACGAUAGCUAAUACCGCAUAAAAUUGAUUAUUGCAUGAUAAUUAAUUGAAAGAUGCAACUGCAUCACUACCAGAUGGACCUGCGUUGUAUUAGCUAGUUGGUGUGGUAACGGCUCACCAAGGCGACGAUACAUAGCCGACCUGAGAGGGUGAGCGGCCACACUGGGACUGAGACACGGCCCAGACUCCUACGGGAGGCAGCAGUAGGGAAUCUUCGGCAAUGGGGGGAACCCUGACCGAGCAACGCCGCGUGAGUGAAGAAGGUUGUCGGAUCGUAAAGCUCUGUUGUAAGAGAAGAACGGGUGUGAGAGUGGAAAGUUCACACUGUGACGGUAUCUUACCAGAAAGGGACGGCUAACUACGUG